UGAGUUAGGAUGCCACGACAAUUGUAGAACACACAGUGUUUAACAAGUAACCAAUGAGAAUUUCUGAUCUAUCAAUCAGUUGGUAGUAUCGAGGACUACCAAGAUUAUAACGGAUAACGAGGAAUUGGGGUUCGACAUCGGAGAGGGAGCUUUACAGAUGGCUACCACUUCUAAGGAAGGCAGCAGGCGCGUAAAUUACCCACUUUCGAAUUGAAGAGGUAGUGACGACACAUAACUCUAGAGUUGAGUAAAAUCAAUUCUUGAAGGAAUGAGUAGGAGGUAAAUUCUCCUACGAAAUCAAUUGGAGGGCAAGUCUGGUGCCAGCAGCCGCGGUAAUUCCAGCUCCAAUAGUGUAUAUUAAAGUUGCUGUGAUUAAAACGCUCGUAGUUGAAUUAAAAUGUGAUUUUAUACAUUUUGAAGACUUUACAUUAAGUGAAGUUUCUAGAAAUGUUAAAUUAAAAUCAAAGAAGGAGACAAUUCAAGUAAUUGAGUUGUCAUUACUUUGAAUAAAAUAAGGUGUUUAAAGCAAAACAUUAUGUUAAUGAAUAUUCAAGCAUGGGACAAUGCUGAGGAGAUGUCAAUUAGACAUUUCGAGAGAAGGAUUAAAAGGAACAAUUGGGGUGAUUCAGAAAAUAACGGGAGAGGUGAAAAUCCAUGAUCGCUAUAAGAUGCACGAGAGCGAAAGCAUUUCACUCAACUGGGUCCAUUAAUCAAGAACGAAAGUUAGGGGAUCGAAGACGAUCAGAUACCGUCGUA
rnacentral:rRNA from 1 species